rnacentral:rRNA from 1 species
ACUCAGAUCACGUAACUUUUUAAUAGUCGAACAGACUAAACUAUUUAAAUUCCUUCACCUAAAGUAAAAUUAAUUCAACAUCGAGGUCGCAAUCUUAGUUAUUAAUAAGAACUUGCUAACUAAAUAACGCUGUUAUCCCUAGAGUAACUUAUUUAAAAAUUUUUCAAUAUAAAAAUUAAUAUCUUCAAUAAUUACCCCAACCAAAAAAUUUUAAAUCUUCAAGCUUCUAGGGUCUUCUCGUCCCAAGGCUUUAUAAAAGCAUUUUUACUCUUAAUUUAACUUCAAAAUCUUUAAAUAAAACAUUCCUUUAAGUUUCUACCCUUCAUCCCAGUUUUCAAUUAAAAAA